rnacentral:rRNA from 1 species
CGAGAUUCCCCCAGUAGCGGCGAGCGAACGGGGAGGAGCCCAGAGCCUGAAUCAGUGUGUGUGUUAGUGGAAGCGUCUGGAAAGGCGCGCGAUACAGGGUGACAGCCCCGUACACAAAAAUGCACAUGCUGUGAGCUCGAUGAGUAGGGCGGGACACGUGGUAUCCUGUCUGAAUAUGGGGGGACCAUCCUCCAAGGCUAAAUACUCCUGACUGACCGAUAGUGAACCAGUACCGUGAGGGAAAGGCGAAAAGAACCCCGGCGAGGGGAGUGAAAAAGAACCUGAAACCGUGUACGUACAAGCAGUGGGAGCACAGAGCAAUCUGUGUGACUGCGUACCUUUUGUAUAAUGGGUCAGCGACUUAUAUUCUGUAGCAAGGUUAACCGAAUAGGGGAGCCGAAGGGAAACCGAGUCUUAACUGGGCGUUAAGUUGCAGGGUAUAGACCCGAAACCCGGUGAUCUAGCCAUGGGCAGGUUGAAGGUUGGGUAACACUAACUGGAGGACCGAACCGACUAAUGUUGAAAAAUUAGCGGAUGACUUGUGGCUGGGGGUGAAAGGCCAAUCAAACCGGGAGAUAGCUGGUUCUCCCCGAAAGCUAUUUAGGUAGCGCCUCGUGAAUUCAUCUCCGGGGGUAGAGCACUGUUUCGGCAAGGGGGUCAUCCCGACUUACCAACCCGAUGCAAACUGCGAAUACCGGAGAAUGUUAUCACGGGAGACACACGGCGGGUGCUAACGUCCGUCGUGAAGAGGGAAACAACCCAGACCGCCAGCUAAGGUCCCAAAGUCAUGGUUAAGUGGGAAACGAUGUGGGAAGGCCCAGACAGCCAGGAUGUUGGCUUAGAAGCAGCCAUCAUUUAAAGAAAGCGUAAUAGCUCACUGGUCGAGUCGGCCUGCGCGGAAGAUGUAACGGGGCUAAACCAUGCACCGAAGCUGCGGCAGCGACGCUGAUGCGUUGUUGGGUAGGGGAGCGUUCUGUAAGCCUGUGAAGGUGUGCUGUGAGGCAUGCUGGAGGUAUCAGAAGUGCGAAUGCUGACAUAAGUAACGAUAAAGCGGGUGAAAAGCCCGCUCGCCGGAAGACCAAGGGUUCCUGUCCAACGUUAAUCGGGGCAGGGUGAGUCGACCCCUAAGGCGAGGCCGAAAGGCGUAGUCGAUGGGAAACAGGUUAAUAUUCCUGUACUUGGUGUUACUGCGAAGGGGGGACGGAGAAGGCUAUGUUGGCCGGGCGACGGUUGUCCCGGUUUAAGCGUGUAGGCUGGUUUUCCAGGCAAAUCCGGAAAACUAAGGCUGAGGCGUGAUGACGAGGCACUACGGUGCUGAAGCAACAAAUGCCCUGCUUCCAGGAAAAGCCUCUAAGCAUCAGGUAACAUCAAAUCGUACCCCAAACCGACACAGGUGGUCAGGUAGAGAAUACCAAGGCGCUUGAGAGAACUCGGGUGAAGGAACUAGGCAAAAUGGUGCCGUAACUUCGGGAGAAGGCACGCUGAUAUGUAGGUGAAGUCCCUCGCGGAUGGAGCUGAAAUCAGUCGAAGAUACCAGCUGGCUGCAACUGUUUAUUAAAAACACAGCACUGUGCAAACACGAAAGUGGACGUAUACGGUGUGACGCCUGCCCGGUGCCGGAAGGUUAAUUGAUGGGGUCAGCGCAAGCGAAGCUCUUGAUCGAAGCCCCGGUAAACGGCGGCCGUAACUAUAACGGUCCUAAGGUAGCGAAAUUCCUUGUCGGGUAAGUUCCGACCUGCACGAAUGGCGUAAUGAUGGCCAGGCUGUCUCCACCCGAGACUCAGUGAAAUUGAACUCGCUGUGAAGAUGCAGUGUACCCGCGGCAAGACGGAAAGACCCCGUGAACCUUUACUAUAGCUUGACACUGAACAUUGAGCCUUGAUGUGUAGGAUAGGUGGGAGGCUUUGAAGUGUGGACGCCAGUCUGCAUGGAGCCGACCUUGAAAUACCACCCUUUAAUGUUUGAUGUUCUAACGUUGACCCGUAAUCCGGGUUGCGGACAGUGUCUGGUGGGUAGUUUGACUGGGGCGGUCUCCUCCUAAAGAGUAACGGAGGAGCACGAAGGUUGGCUAAUCCUGGUCGGACAUCAGG